UUUAUGAUAUAAUGUAUUUCGUAGAGAAGUAAGAGACGGGGGCUACCAUUUCUGAAAGGUAGGUGAUGCCUAUGGGCAAAUCAUCAAAAUCUGGACGAAAGGAGGUAGCCAAGAGUUGUCGAUGUUCGAAGUAUUGACGCUUUUAUUUGUGGCUGGUAACUUUGUUAUUGCCCUUGU
rnacentral:sRNA from 1 species